rnacentral:lncRNA from 1 species
GAUAUAUGCAAGAUAAAAACCUCUUACAUGUACUAUAUUGUAUACCACAUGUGGGAUUUAAUUUUCUUCCACCUUCUGAUGCAGGAAAAGGUAUUUAAGGUACCAUUGUUUUUGCACCAGAUGCAUUUUUUUACAAUAUAAAAUGUCUCUUCAGUGAUGCAAGGCUGAAGUAUUUGAAAAUCCAAAACUUAUUUAAAAAAUAACAAGUGAAACUGCGAGCUACUGCUCACUGAUGAUACCCCCGCCGCAAGUGGAUAAUAUUAAUAGUGUAAAAAUAUGCAAGUGUUCGGUAAACAGGAAGUUGUCGAGUGAUGAAUCUGAAAACGCAUCACACGGUAUAGCUGACUUAUAAAAAUCCUGAAACCAAAUUUCAGAAAUCCUUGUAUUUAGUUCCUGAGAAAAAAUGUGACGAAAAUUUUUAACUUGGUUAUCAUGUGUAAAAUCAUACAAGUGUUCGGUAAACAGGAAGUUGUCGAGUGAUGAAUCUGAAAACGCAUCACACGGUAUAGCUGUGACUUAUAUAAAUCCUGAAACCAAAUUUCAGAAAUCCUUGUAUUGUAGUUCCUGAGAAAAAUGUGACGAAAAUUUUCAACUUGGCUAUCAUGUGUAAAAUCAUACAAGUGUUCGGUAAAUAGGAAGUUGUCGAGUGAUGAAUCUGAAAACGCAUCACACGGUAUAGCUGACUUAUAUAAAUCCUGAAACCAAAUUUCAGAAAUCCUUGUAUUGUAGUUCCUGAGAAAAAUGUGACGAAAAUUUUCAACUUGGCUAUCAUGUGUAAAAUCAGACAAGUGUUCGGUAAACAGGAAGUUGUCAAGUGAUGAAUCUGAAAACACAUCACACGGUAUGGCUGACAUAUAUAAAUGUUGAUACCAAAUUACAGAAAGGGUGGAUGUGUAGUUCCUGAGAAAAAUGUG